AAUCGGUCAAGCCUUUUCGGAGGAGUUUAACUACAAACACCGCGAUACGAGAAUUUUAUAUAUUAGAUUUCCGGUCUUGACCUAAGUAAUAGUAAUUCACCCGGAUGAUCCGGUCACAGAGUUACGAAACUCGAAACACCCGGCAUUAAUAUUAAAUUGUAUCAUCGUUGGCAGGGCGGGCGGGUGGUGGUCUCGUGACAUUUCCCCGCCCGUCGCUAACGUUUAUUUAUAAUGACACACUAUCUCGUAUCUGGGGCGAUCACUUCCGCGUUCGAUUGAUACCAUUAAACAAUUAGAUUCUUCGGUUGCUGAUUACACUAUCUGACGCAUGACGGUAUCCAACGUAACGAAGUUUUUUAUGUGAUUUUUCUUAGGCAUAGUAAUUUUUAUGGAAAACGUACGCUUGAAUAUAU
rnacentral:misc_RNA from 1 species